rnacentral:rRNA from 1 species
CUUUCUACAGGCUUAACACAUGCAAGUCGAGGGGCAGCAUGGUCUUAGCUUGCUAAGGCCGAUGGCGACCGGCGCACGGGUGAGUAACGCGUAUCCAACCUGCCUUACACUCUUGGACAGCCUUCUGAAAGGGAGAUUAAUACAAGAUGUUAUCAUGAGUAAGCAUUUUCGCAUGAUUAAAGGUUUACCGGUGUAAGAUGGGGAUGCGUUCCAUUAGAUAGUAGGCGGGGUAACGGCCCACCUAGUCUUCGAUGGAUAGGGGUUCUGAGAGGAAGGUCCCCCACAUUGGAACUGAGACACGGUCCAAACUCCUACGGGAGGCAGCAGUGAGGAAUAUUGGUCAAUGGACGAGAGUCUGAACCAGCCAAGUAGCGUGAAGGAUGAAGGUUCUAUGGAUUGUAAACUUCUUUUAUACGGGAAUAAACGGAUCCACGUGUGGAUUUUUGCAUGUACCGUAUGAAUAAGGAUCGGCUAACUCCGUGCCAGCAGCCGCGGUAAUACGGAGGAUCCGAGCGUUAUCCGGAUUUAUUGGGUUUAAAGGGAGCGUAGAUGGGUUGUUAAGUCAGUUGUGAAAGUUUGCGGCUCAACCGUAAAAUUGCAAUUGAUACUGGCAGUCUUGAGUACAGUUGAGGUAGGCGGAAUUCGUGGUGUAGCGGUGAAAUGCUUAGAUAUCACGAAGAACUCCGAUUGCGAAGGCAGCUUACUAACCUGUAACUGACAUUGAUGCUCGAAAGUGUGGGUAUCAAACAGGAUUAGAUACCCUGGUAGUCCACACGGUAAACGAUGAAUACUCGCUGUAGGCGAUAUACAGUCUGCGGCCAAGCGAAAGCAUUAAGUAUUCCACCUGGGGAGUACGCCGGCAACGGUGAAACUCAAAGGAAUUGACGGGGGCCCGCACAAGCGGAGGAACAUGUGGUUUAAUUCGAUGAUACGCGAGGAACCUUACCCGGGCUUAAAUUGCAACCGAAUAUGGCGGAAACGCUAUGGCUAGCAAUAGCGGUUGUGAAGGUGCUGCAUGGUUGUCGUCAGCUCGUGCCGUGAGGUGUCGGCUUAAGUGCCAUAACGAGCGCAACCCUUGCCGAUAGUUACUAACAGGUCAUGCUGAGGACUCUGUCGGGACUGCCAUCGUAAGAUGUGAGGAAGGUGGGGAUGACGUCAAAUCAGCACGGCCCUUACGUCCGGGGCUACACACGUGUUACAAUGGGGGGUACAGAGGGCUGCUACCACGCAAGUGGAUGCCAAUCCCAAAAACCUCUCUCAGUUCGGAUUGAAGUCUGCAACCCGACUUCAUGAAGCUGGAUUCGCUAGUAAUCGCGCAUCAGCCACGGCGCGGUGAAUACGUUCCCGGGCCUUGUACACACCGCCCGUCAAGCCAUGGGAGCCGGGGGUACCUGAAGUGCGUAACCGCAAGGAGCGCCCUAGGGUAAAACUGGUGACUGGGGCUA